rnacentral:rRNA from 1 species
ACCUGGUUGAUCCUGCCAGUGGUCGUAUGCUUCGUUCAAGGGCUAAGCCAUGCAAGUCUCAGAGCAAUCGGUUUGACAGAGGGUCUGUGAAUGGCUCCUUACAUCAGCAGUUAUCCAAGUGAUAGUGUGUGGCUGGUGCCACUCCCCAGGGCACCCAUUGGGACAUCCUCGAAAACCUUGUGGCUAAUACCCGUACGCAACAGUCAACCGCAGCGCAGGCGCCGGGCCCCCUCGCGGGGUGCUCGGUGUCCUGGUGGUGGAUCAUGCCCAGCUGAGGCGAAGACCAGCGCCCACCCCCGUGGGCAGUGCGUUGUUCGGUUGACUCAGGCUGGAUUCCCUUGGGACGGCCAUUCUGGCAGAGUGGUGGCCUCGUGCCACGAUCGCUUGAUCACAGGAACUUCUGACCUAUCAGCCUGGAUUGUGAGGUAGUGGCUCACAAUGGCAGCGACGGGUAACGGAGAAUCAGGGUUCGAUUCCGGAGAGGGAGCCUGAGACACGGCUACCACUACCAAGGUGGGCAGCAGGCGCGCAAAUUGCCCAAUACAAGCCCCUUGUGUGAGGCAGCGACGAACCGCAGCAAGGCCGCUGGCUGUAUCUGCCAGUGGCCUUUGGAAUGGAUGCAACCCAAACACAGCGAUGAGUAUCAACUGGAGGGCAAGUCUGGUGCCAGCAGCCGCGGUAAUUCCAGCUCCAAGGGCGUACACUAUCAUUGCUGCUGUUAAAACACCUGUAGUCUGCCACUGGGUCCAGGUCUGCCGGGUGGCUGGCCGUCCCGGCCUGGCGUGCGCUGGUCCCCCGGGAUCGGUGUGCKUCGGGCCCGGGGCGGCUGGGUUCAACCCCCGGCGGUAUGUCCCUGGACCCGCAUUGGAAUGGUGAGACGCUCCGGCCCGAAGUCCCCUUCACUGGGGACCAGGGUGGACACGCCCCUCGCGCAGGCACGGGCGCCGGACCAGAACCCCCGGGGUCAACCCGGGGCACCAGGGAGACCUGGCCGGCCCCGCCACUGGAGCCCACCUGUCCCGGAUACCGUGGAAAACUCAGUGUGCCCCAAGCGUCCUGUCCGUACGGCUGGAUGCUCAUCCAUGGAAUGUCGCAGCAUCGACCGAGUGUGGCUAUAGACGUUGUGCUGGCCUUGAAGCCCACCCAGGGCAAUGUGGUGCAUGGAACUCCGGGGGAUCCCUGCGGGGUCCCGUCCGACGGGCCUCCGUGCCCCGAGGGCGGCCCCCAGGUCCCCCGCCGCCGUGUGCUGACCGGAGAUGAUGGGACCAACCAGGGUGAAAGAUACUGGAGCGCCAGAGGUGAAAUUCUUAGACCGCUCCAAGAUCCACUGGAGCGAAGGCGUUCUGCAAGCCUGUGUUCGUCGAUCAAGGAUGAGAGUCUGGGGAACGAAGAUGAUCAGACACCGUCGUAGUCCAGUACCGUAAACCGUGCCAGCCAGGCCUCAGCAGGGAAAGUCCCAAGACCCUGACUGGGGCCAGCCCCCCAUCAACGAGAAAUCCACAGCCUUGUGGGUUCAGGGGGGAGUACUGUCGCAAGGCUGAAACUUAAAGGAAUUGACGGAAUGGCACCACAAGGCGUGGAGUAUGCGGCUUAAUUUGACUCAACACGGGGAAUGUUACCAGGUCAGGACACAGCCAGGAUGGACAGAUUGAGAGCUCUCUCUUGAUCCUGUGGUCGGUGGUGCAUGGCCGCUCCUGAUUGGUGGAGUGAUUUGUCUGGUUGAUUCCGAUAACGAGUGAGAUCUCUGCCUCCCAGUGGCCUCCGGCUCGCAUUCGGUAGGGCGGACCCUGGAACCGGUCCCUGGGCGUGCCCCGGCCCCCGUGGUCGGUGGUCGCCCCUGGGCCCCAGGUCCCCCGAGAGCCCUGGAGUUCAGCUUCUCUGAGGUGCUGUGUACGCUGCCAAGUGCACGCAUGCUAGAGCCAACAGCAGGUCUGUGAUGCCCCCAGAUGUCCUGGGCCGCACGCGCACUACAUUGGAAUGGUGAAGGGGUCUGAGUCUGGAUUGUCAGAACCUGGCCGGAAAGUGGCUGGGAAACCCUGGGAGCCGAUGGCUCGUACUCGGGAUAGAUGAUUGCAACUGUGUGCCUUGAACGUGGAAUGCCUAGUAUGCGUUGGUCAUCAGCCAACACCGAUUGUGUCCCUGCCAUUUGUACACACCGCCCGUCGUUGCUACCGAUGGUGACAGGAUAGAGACAUCAGGAGGUGAGCCGGGGGUCCGCCCCCGGUCCCAGCCGAAAUUGGCCAAUGUCCUCUUGCUAGAGAAGCAAAAGUCGUAACAAGGUUGCUGUAGGUGAACCUGCAGAAAAGGAUCAA